GAGAGACUAAAACGUUCAAUUUAUUCAGAAAGUGAUCACAGCAACGUCAGAACUAACACAAGAAAGUUUGUUGGUACACAACCACACUACCACCCAAAACAAACAUUUUUUUCUUGGAUUACUUCUUCACUACACCAACACAUUUUUCAUCUUCACAUUGUAGGCCUUACAUUGAGACGAGACGCGAGCUUCUGACCAAGAGACUUGUCAGCCUGUGACCAGUAUGAGAUCCAGAUACUGCGAAUUUCAUGAGUGGCUCGAGGAUCAGAUAGAGCAUCAACCCAUCUGCACAAAAAUCUUUCUUGCCUGUCCGGUGCCCAAGAUCUGUAAUGUUCUCCUGGCUGCUUAAAG
rnacentral:misc_RNA from 1 species